AUGAACUAUUUAUAAACCUUAUCCAAUAGGGUAACGUAUGCUCAUAUAAAUGAAAUCACACGGGUAAAAAAAUUUAAAAUCCAAAACUUAACAUUUAACGAAGUACCUAAUUUAAGUAUCAUAGUCGAUUAUAUGUAUAUGAAAGAACUACCUAUCUACUAUCUUAAGAUAUGUGAACUAAUAUAUAUAUUUCACUGCCAGUGACAUAGUCCAGUGAGUUUUAGUUAGGUUUAUUAGAAAGAACAUACGCAAUGCGCCAAAUUAAAAACACAUUUUUAAAUUCCUGACAAGUGACAGCAUAUCAAAAACAACCAACGUAAUUUGGUCGGGUUAUUUGUUGCCCACUAUAGAUAGAUAGAUAGAAUUUUUAUUGGUAUUAAUCAUACACUGUCAGUUACAUUAUAAUAAUUAAUAACAAAAUGAUGCCAUACUAAAAUUUACGGUGGGGAAUAAAAAAAAUGAAACUGUGACAAUGACAAACAAUCAUAGCGCUUUCUCUGCUACUCCAACUGUUCCAUAAGAGUUCCAUCUCGUUCGGUCAUCUGCCGGCUCAACCAUUUCAUCUCUAUACAUAUUGUACCACUAUGAUUUUAUGAUAUUUCAAUAUUUUGUUAUUUCAUUUCUUUGUAUUGAUUUACCACAAAUUAAUAAAAUGUAUUUAUAACAACCAAUUUUAUGCACAUACUGACUUUGUAACAUUAUUCUUAAUAAAUAACUUUGCAAUAUUUCAGCAGUUUUAUUGUUUCAAAACUUUACUCUCCUCUAUGUGCGAAAUUAUAUUUAGCCAGUCGCUUUUCAGUCAAGAAAAUCAACCAGAGGUAACUCAAGAUAAAAUAGACAGUGUAUAAGUACGGCAUACUUAGCAUUAUGUUACCGGCGGCAUCAUGGUUCCAUUUUUAUCACUUGUCACUAUGCCCGUCACUUUCGCACUUACAUACUCAUUAGAACGGGACAAGUAUGGUGCCAAAUGAUAAAGAGCCGACCAUCUUAGCCCUACUGUAGUGCUUAUUUUUGAAGCGAACGACACAUUAUCUUACAGGUCUCAAUGAAAAAUAAUUUAAAUGUAUUGUAUCACUAGCAUAGCUAUUUUAAGAUAAGGAUAAGAUAAAGAACGUUUAUUACUCAAGUAGGCAUAUUACAAUGCGCUUCAAAUAAAGCUACACCAGUUCUAACCUACACACCUACCGAAUAUUCGGCACACAAGCGUUCAUUUUUAUGUCAACUUCAAUUUGCCAUGUUUUUUUUUUUUUUUUUUUUUUUUAAUGGCUUCGCGCUCCUGGCGCAUUCAGCCAGACGAGUAAAACGGGGAAACGGAAUUAAGGAUUACAUUAAAACGGGUAGGACGGAAUUUUGGAAAAGGAUCAGGAAAAGGUUAAUAAUUCAAAUAAUUUAAAGUUUAAUGUUGUGACGUGAAAUAAAAGAAUACAAUGAUUUAAAUAUAUAUGGAGAUGAAUCAUUAAUAUACAGGAGUGUUGUAAUAGAUGUGGGAAACGGAACUUUUAAAUCUGACAGCUGUCUUAAUAAUAUAGAACGGUCAUAUAGGUUACAAUUACCAGAAAAAAAGAUAUGAUUAAGAUCAGCGGGAUCAGUUCCACAAAUACAUGCAGAACUGGCCACACGAUUUUGUAGUUUCAGGUGUUCCGGUGUACAUACAUGGCCCAAUCUCAUACGAAUCAACAUACUAGUUGCAGGCUUUGGCAAAGAGAUUUUAGCAAACCAAGAAUUCCAAAGCACUCGCCACUGUACACAGAGGACUCUGGAGGCAACUUUAUUUUUUGGUAAAUAUUAGACUGGGUGUGAAGUACACCAAUGCCAACACACCCAUUGUCAGACAUCUUAGAAGCAUCUGUGUAUAUAUGAUCAGCAGCUAGGCCAUCUGUUCCAAUGAAUCCCAGGAAUUGUUGAUUUUGUUCAACAUCAUUCUUAGAAAUGCCGAUAUUAAGGAGAACUGGAGGAUCAAGUAUUACAGAUUCAUAUUCAUACUGGAAAAUGGGAAGUGUUGAAGAGCUAACAGUGGGAGCUGAAAUAGAUUUAAGUUUUUGAAAACUUUUAAUCAAACAUGGAGGACUCUUGUGCUUCCAGUAGUUAGAAGUAGUUAUUUGAAGCAGGAGGUUAGACAAGAUAACCCAGAGUUGAUGAUUAGAAAAUUGGGAGCAGCGGAAAAUAAACCUAUCACAAAGAUAUUGGCGUCGUAAAUGGAGUGGAGGCUCAGCACACUCAACUUGCAUAGCAUUGAUAGGGCUUGAAUUCAUGGCACCGCAUAUCAUUCUCAGGGCUUUUGAUUGAAUACGAUCUAAUUUUUGGAAGCCUGCUACAAAUCCUGGCUCUAACAAAAAUGUUCCAUAAUCUAGAAUACUUCUUAUCAAGGCAUUAUACAUUAAUUUUAUGCAAAGAGGAUGCGAACCCCACCAAACUCCUGAAACACACCUAAGGAUAUUAAUAUUUUUUUCACAUUUAGAAACUAUGUAAUCACAAUGUGGAAGACCUGUUAAUUUAUUAUCUAAAAUAACACCUAGGAACUUGGUUUUAUCUUUAAUGGGAAUGGAGCAGUUAUUAAAUUGCACAUUGAUUGGAGGAGGAAACAGUUUUCUAGUAAACAAAACUACAACACUUUUAGGAACUGAGAGUUCCAGACCAUUUGAAUCUAACCAUAACUUCAAUAAACCCAAAGAACAAGUAAUGGAUCUACUGGCCUGUUCAAUAGAAAGGUUUGGUGAAUAUAAUAAUAAAUCAUCAGCAUAUUGCAAAAUUCUGACAGUGCCAUUUAAGGAUGACUCUAAAUCGGAUGUGUAGAUAUUAUAUAGCAAUGGACUUAAUACGGAACCUUGUGGAAGACCUCUCCAAACUAAACGGGAAAUCCUAUUGUUGUCAUCUAUAAGAAGGCUAAUGGACCUUUCUGAUAAAAGAUUUAUUAUGAAAUUGCUUAACAUUAUUGGUACAGCUAAUCUAUGAAGUUUUGCUUGUAAUACUGAGACUAAAACAUUAUCAUAAGCGGCACUUAUAUCAAGAAAAGCAGCUACUACAGACUCAUUUCUAGAAAAUGCUAAUCUAAUUUCUGCAACUAAUAUACCCAAACUAUCAUAGGUAGAUCUACCUUUUCGGAAUCCAAACUGACUAUGAGAAAGUAAUUGGUUUUUUUCUACAAAAUAUUCUAAUCUGUUUUUAAUCAAAUGUUCUGCUACUUUAACAAAUACUGAAGAAAGGGCAAUUGGACGAUAAGAAGAAACAUCUGUUGCUUGUUUGUUGGGUUUUAAUAUAGGAAUAACUAUUUGAGAUCUCCAAGAAUCCGGGACUGUACCAGAUUGGAUGACAAAAUUUAUUAUAUUCAGAUAAUAAGAGAGAAUACCAUCACUAGCAUUUGCUAAAAAGGAAUAUGGGACUCCAUCAUCCCCAGGUGAAGUAUCUCUUAAACUACUUAGUAUACCUUUUAACUCUUCUAUUUUAAAAGGCCCAUUAAAUACAGUAUAAUAGGAAGAGUCAAAUGAAAAGGCAGCAGGGUGGAAAACAUGUUCUUCGGGGACUGAUGCUGGUGCUAAUUUGUCCAUGAACUGAUUAGCAAGGUUAGGAGGAAGUGUCUGUCUAGAUGGCUCAUUGAAAGCAUGUCUGAAUCUUUUAAUAUUAUUCCAUACUAUGGAUGGUUUCACGUUAGGACUAAGAGAUGAACAAAAUCGUCUCCAGCCUUCGAACUUUUUUUUGCGCAGUAAUUUUUUAGUCUCACGAGCAACUUGUAUAUAUAUCUCGAAAUUUUCAUUUGUCAUCGAAUGACGAUAACUUCUCUCUGCCUCCUUGCGGUUUCUGAUUGCUUGAGAACAAUCAUCAUCCCACCAAGGAGGAGAAGGUAUUUUACCUGAUACACUGUUUUUUACAGGGAAAAUUUUGGUUUUGGAGAUGGAGGAAUGGAAGAUGGAAAUGUAAUAAUAAUAGGGUAGUGAUCACUCCCAUAUGUUGAAUCUAAGGUAUGCCAAGAGAGAGAGGAUGCAAGAUCGACCGAACAAAUAGAUAAAUCAAUAGCGCUAAUUGACUCUGUUGGCGCUGUUCGGCGGGUUGGAGAGCCAGUGUUUAAAACACAAAGGUUGUGUUCGUCUAAGAUAUGUAUGAGACGAUCUCCAUUAUAAUUAGAUGAUGAACUACCCCAAAACUGGUGAUGCGAGUUAAAGUCUCCUAAAAUUAACACGGGCCUAGGGAGAGAAGAAAUUAUUUGUUCAAGCUCAUCAAAAAUGGAUGAUGAUGGAUGAGGUAUAUAUACAGAAAUGAUACAGAUGUUAUUUACAAUGGCAGCAACAAUUGAAAAAUCAUCGCUAUGGGAUGGAAGAUUAUAAGGUGAAAAUGAAAUGGAAUUCCUGACGAGUAGAGCUACACCGCCCCAUCCGCCAGGACGGUCCUCUCUGAGGCAUGAAUAUCCAGUAGCUCUAAGAAGAGCUCCAGGCUUUAGCCAUGUCUCAGAGAGGGCAAAAACAAAAGGUUGAAAUUUGUUUAAUAAAUGUAUUAGAUCUUG